CCUCCCUUAUCUAACUGAAAGCCAAGGGAUGCGUCCUCCCACCUACCUGAGGCUCUCUGUCCAGCUGUGCCCUUCUCCGGCUUAAGGAGCUUGGAGUUGUCAAUUCCUCAAACUCUAGAAGCAAUGAAGUUUUGUUCAAAUGUGACCCAACUAUCCCACUGCUACACAGAUUAUACAAAGAAAUGAAGUCAGCACAGGAAAGAAACAUCAGUGCUCCUUUGUUGGGUUUUGUGCCAGUCAUGAAAUUCAGGAUUUAAAGUCAAUCUGGGUAUAUAUCAA